AAUAGAUACCCGGGUAGUCCACGCCGUAAACGUUGGACGCUAGGUGUGGGGUCCUUCCACGACCUCCGUGCCGCAGCUAACGCAUUAAGCGCCCCGCCUGGGGAGUACGGCCGCAAGGCUAAAACUCAAAGGAAUUGACGGGGGCCCGCACAAGCGGCGGAGCAUGCGGAUUAAUUCGAUGCAACGCGAAGAACCUUACCAAGGCUUGACAUGCACAGGAAAGUUCCAGAGAUGGUUCCCCCGCAAGGUCUGUGCACAGGUGGUGCAUGGUUGUCGUCAGCUCGUGUCGUGAGAUGUUGGGUUAAGUCCCGCAACGAGCGCAACCCUUGUCUCAUGUUGCCAGCACGUAAUGGUGGGGACUCAUGAGAGACUGCCGGGGUCAACUCGGAGGAAGGUGGGGAUGACGUCAAAUCAUCAUGCCCCUUAUGUCUUGGGCUUCACGCAUGCUACAAUGGCCGGUACAAAGGGCUGCGAAACCGCGAGGUGGAGCGAAUCCCAAAAAGCCGGUCUCAGUUCGGAUUGGGGUCUGCAACUCCG
rnacentral:rRNA from 1 species